UGUUUGUUUAUGGAGGUGGGGUGGGAGUAAAAACGUAAUUGAUUAACGUGUUUUAUUUAUAUCAGGUGUACUAUAAACAAAGACCGAUUAUUUUAUGUAUAAGUAAUGAAUUCAAGUAUUCAGUAUGCGAUUGUUUUCGUAGACAUGGAAGUUAGUCGGACAGAGGAAUAUGCGUAAUAAAUUACCAUCUCGCGCAUGCGCAAGUAUGCAGUUAUUGAUUCAUUCCGCUAUUGAUUAAAGAGACAUGUAAAAGUCAAGUCAUCUACACAUUUCUUCCAAUAUUUUUUUUUAUCAAAUAACAAGUGUUUAUCACCGGAUGAUGUUGAGAUACAUAGCCCAUUUUUAAAAUUAUCACAAGACAAGGUUUUUCCCCAGGUCUCGAAUGCCAUACCGGGGAUCAGUAACCUUUUCGGGGGAACUCCAGCCAUCGGUUGUCGGUUGUCGGCAGGAAAAUAUGUAUAGCCAGACUGCAGCUCGGGUGUUUGUCAGCCACCACUGAACACAUCUCAGAUCACCGUCUAAAAAUAUCUGCCUCUGUUUCAGGCUCUUUCUGCUCUUUUGUGAAAAUGAUGCCUGCAUGAAACCAGUUCUAGCGUCCAGUCACCAAAAGCGGAACGUUUGAGGAACAGGUGGACGUCAAGAAAGAAAACAAGAACCUAGUAUGAGGCUUCUCCUCUUUGGUCGCUCCCCUCCCUCUUUCAGACAGAUUACACAGAAAAGCCUCCCAUGGAGUCUUUAGAGCUCGAGAAUAGGAAAAACUCCCAGUCAGAGGCCCCUGAUUUAGACGAAGUUGCUUCAGAGCACAAAUUUCAUGGAGAUUGCAACCACAAGAACAACUUACGGCCGUGCUUGCUUCACCAUCCUCUGGACUUCUUUGUCAUCUGAUAUUUGCCUUGACCCUGGGAGAGAGAGCUGACUUUCUCAGAAGCUCAGGAAACAGAACGAUUCCUGGUUAAAGCUAAUCCCCGUAAGUUGAUAAUUAGAUAAAUCCCUUGCCAGUACUUAAUAAUUAGUAAUUAAACUCUGGUGCUCAAGACGAAGAUCUUUGCCUAUUCUCGGGUUUUGAGGCUCAU